rnacentral:rRNA from 1 species
CUUAGUGGCGGACGGGUGAGUAACGCGUGAGUAACCUGCCUUUCAGAGGGGAUAACGUUCUGAAAAGAACGCUAANACCGCAUAAUMURUCGGUGCUGCAUGGUACUGAUAUCAAAGGARCAAUCCGCUGAAAGAUGGACUCGCGUCCGAUUAGCCAGUUGGCGGGRUAAAGGCCCACCAAAGCRACRAUCGGUAGCCGGGUUGAGAGACUGAACGGCCACAUUGGGACUGAGACACGGCCCAGACUCCUACGGGAGGCAGCAGUGGGGGAUAUUGCACAAUGGAGGAAACUCUGAUGCAGCAAUGCCGCGUGAGGGAAGACGGUCUUCGGAUUGUAAACCUCUGUCCUUGGUGAAGAUAAUGACGGUAGCCAAGGAGGAAGCUCCGGCUAACUACGUGCCAGCAGCCGCGGUAAUACGUAGGGAGCAAGCGUUGUCCGGAUUUACUGGGUGUAAAGGGUGCGUAGGCGGCUUUUUAAGUCGGGCGUGAAAGCUGUGGGCUUAACCCACAAAUUGCGUUCGAAACUGGAAGGCUUGAGUGAAGUAGAGGUAGGCGGAAUUCCCGGUGUAGCGGUGAAAUGCGUAGAGAUCGGGAGGAACACCAGUGGCGAAGGCGGCCUACUGGGCUUUAACUGACGCUGAGGCACGAAAGCAUGGGUAGCAAACAGGAUUAGAUACCCUGGUAGUCCAUGCCGUAAACGAUGAUUACUAGGUGUGGGGGGUCUGACCCCUUCCGUGCCGGAGUUAACACAAUAAGUAAUCCACCUGGGGAGUACGGCCGCAAGGUUGAAACUCAAAGGAAUUGACGGGGGCCCGCACAAGCAGUGGAGUAUGUGGUUUAAUUCGAAGCAACGCGAAGAACCUUACCAGGUCUUGACAUCCAACUAACGAGGCAGAGAUGCAUUAGGUGCCCUUCGGGGAAAGUUGAGACAGGUGGUGCAUGGUUGUCGUCAGCUCGUGUCGUGAGAUGUUGGGUUAAGUCCCGCAACGAGCGCAACCCUUGUGAUUAGUUGCUACGAAAGAGCACUCUAAUCAGACUGCCGUUGACAAACUGGAGGAAGGUGGGGACGACGUCAAAUCAUCAUGCCCCUUAUGACCUGGGCUACACACGUGCUACAAUGGUCCCUACAAGGAGAAGCGAGCUCGCGAGUGCAAGCAAACCUCCUAAAGCGAUCUCAGUUCGGAUUGUAGUCUGCAACUCGACUACAUGAAGUCGGAAUCGCUAGUAAUCGUGGAUCAGAAUGCCGCGGUGAAUACGUUCCCGGGCCUUGUACACACCGCCCGUCACACCAUGGGAGUGGUAAUACCCGAAGCCAAUAGUCUAACCGCAAGGAGGACGUUGUCGAAGGUAGGAUUGGCGACUGGGGUG